GUGAACGCUGGCGGUAGGUCUAACACCUGCAAGUCGAACGGCAGCACAGUAAGAGCUUGCUCUUACGGGUGGCGAGUGGCGGACGGGUGAGGAAUACAUCGGAAUCUACUUUUUCGUGGGGGAUAACGUAGGGAAACUUACGCUAAUACCGCAUACGACCUACGGGUGAAAGCAGGGGAUCUUCGGACCUUGCGCGAUUGAAUGAGCCGAUGUCGGAUUAGCUAGUUGGCGGGGUAAAGGCCCACCAAGGCGACGAUCCGUAGCUGGUCUGAGAGGAUGAUCAGCCACACUGGAACUGAGACACGGUCCAGACUCCUACGGGAGGCAGCAGUGGGGAAUAUUGGACAAUGGGCGCAAGCCUGAUCCAGCCAUACCGCGUGGGUGAAGAAGGCCUUCGGGUUGUAAAGCCCUUUUGUUGGGAAAGAAAAGCAGCAGGUUAAUACCCCGCUGUUCUGACGGUACCCAAAGAAUAAGCACCGGCUAACUUCGUG
rnacentral:rRNA from 1 species